rnacentral:rRNA from 1 species
ACUCGAGGGAUAGCCUUUACGAAAGAAAGAUUAAUACCUGAUUAGUAUGGUGAGAUUGCAUGAUAACACCAUUUAAAGAUUUAUUGGUAAACGAUGGGGAUGCGUUCCAUUAGGUAGUAGGCGGGGUAACGGCCCACCUAGCCUACGAUGGAUAGGGGUUCUGAGAGGAAGGUCCCCCACAUUGGAACUGAGACACGGUCCAAACUCCUACGGGAGGCAGCAGUGAGGAAUAUUGGUCAAUGGACGAGAGUCUGAACCAGCCAAGUAGCGUGAAGGAUGAAGGUCCUACGGAUUGUAAACUUCUUUUAUAAGGGAAUAAAACCUCCCACGUGUGGGAGCUUGUAUGUACCUUAUGAAUAAGCAUCGGCUAACUCCGUG